AAUCAACGCUGGCGGCGUGCCUAACACAUGCAAGUCGAGCGAGAAAAGGGGAGCAAUCUCCUGAGUAAAGCGGCGCACGGGUGAGUAACACGUGGGUAAUCUGCCUUGGAGUGGGGAAUAACACCGGGAAACCGGUGCUAAUACCGCAUACGAUGACGAGAUCUGCGGAUUUUGUCAUGAAAGGAGCAAUUCGCUCCAAGAGGAGCCCGCGGCUGAUUAGCUAGUUGGUGAGGUAAUGGCUCACCAAGGCAACGAUCAGUAGCCGGUCUGAGAGGACGGUCGGCCACACUGGAACUGAGACACGGUCCAGACUCCUACGGAGGCAGCAGUGGGGAAUUUUUGGCAAUGGGCGAACGCCUGACCAAGCAACGCCGCGUGGAUGAUGAAGUAUCUCGGUACGUAAAAUCCUUUCGACAGGGACGAAAGCCGCAAGGUUUGACGGUACCUGUAGAAGAAGCCCCGGCUAACUCCGUGCCAGCCGCCGCCGUAAC
rnacentral:rRNA from 1 species